rnacentral:rRNA from 1 species
UAGGGAAUAUUGCGCAAUGGAGGAAACUCUGACGCAGCGACGCCGCGUGGGUGACGAAGGCCUUCGGGUCGUAAAGCCCUGUCGGAUGGGAAGAAACACGGUAUGGCUAACAUCCAUACCGCUUGACGGUACCAUUAAAGGAAGCACCGGCUAACUACGUGCCAGCAGCCGCGGUAAUACGUAGGGUGCAAGCGUUGUUCGGAAUCAUUGGGCGUAAAGCGCGUGUAGGUGGUUUAUUAAGUCGGAUGUGAAAGCCCUCGGCUCAACCGGGGAAGUGCAUUCGAAACUGAUUAACUAGAAGAUAGUAGAGGAAGGUGGAAUUCCAAGUGUAGAGGUGAAAUUCGUAGAUAUUUGGAGGAAUACCGGCGGCGAAGGCGGCCUUCUGGACUAUUCUUGACACUGAGACGCGAAAGCGUGGGUAGCAAACAG